ensembl:lncRNA
UGGGUGGCUGUAGUCUGUGUGGGUGGGUGGCUGUAGUCUGUGUGGGUGGGUGGCUGUAGUCUGUGUGGGUGGGUGGCUGUUGGGUGUGUGGGUAGGUGGCUGUAGUCUGUGUGGGUGGGUGGCUGUAGGGUGUGUGGGUGGGUGGCUGUAGGGUGUGUGGGUGGGUGGCUGUAGGGUGUGUGGGUGGGUGGCUGUAGGGUGUGUGGGUGGGUGGCUGUAGUCUGUGUGGGUGGGUGGCUGGAGUCUGUGUGGGUAGGUGGCUGUAGUCUGUAGGGUGUGUGGGUGGGUGGCUGUAGUCUGUGUGGGUGGGUGGCUGUAGUCUGUGUGGGUGGGUGGCUGUAGUCUGUGUGGGUGGGUGGCUGUAGGGUGUGUGGGUGGGUGGCUGUAGUC